GAUGAACGCUAGCUACAGGCUUAACACAUGCAAGUGGAGGGGUAGCAGGGUAGCAAUACCGCUGACGACCGGCGCAGGGGUGAGUAACACGUAUCCAACCUUCCCAUAACUGGGGGAUAGCCUUCCGCAAGAAAGAUUAAUACCCGAUAGUACUUAUUUACGGCAUCUUAUUUAAGUUAAGGAUUUUUGGGUUUUGGAUGGGGAUGCGUUCCAUUAGAUAGUUGGUGAGGCAACGGCUCACCAAGUCUUCGAUGGAUAGGGGUUCUGAGAGGAAGGUCCCCCACAUUGGUACUGAGACACGGACCAAACUCCUACGGGAGGCAGCAGUGAGGAAUAUUGGUCAAUGGGCGAGAGCCUGAACCAGCCAAGUAGCGUGAAGGAUGAAGGUCCUAUGGAUUGUAAACUUCUUUUAUAGUAGAAUAAAGUUAGCCACGUGUGGUUAUUUGUAUGUAUACUAUGAAUAAGGAUCGGCUAACUCCGUGCCAGCAGCCGCGGUAA
rnacentral:rRNA from 1 species